CUUUGCUCUCAAAGUGCUUAAAUCUACUGUGGGAGAUGAGAUGAGACAACACUUCUCAAAUCUAUAGUUCAAGGAGGAAAGUUAAUAAAUGUUAAAAUGCCUGACGUGAAUGGAGGGUGAUUCAGAACAUCUGACCUUCAACGCAGGAAGUUCCUGUUUGCCUCCGUGGCAGGAUUCUGGGGAGGAAAUGCUGGCGAGGUAAAGUUCAUGGUGAUAUGACCAAGAGGUUUUGGAGUUGCUCAUGCCCUACAAGCGAAGACUAUUCCCAUCUUGAAAGUGAGUGUCCUGUGCCCAGAUUGGAGGUAGGGAGAGCAAUGACACCAGACCACACUUUGACCAGCUGCAAAAAUGGACACCAAGUAUGAAGAGAGCAGAACUGAACCAGCACAGCAGGCUGUGUGCCCCGAGCAGGCUGGAGAGACUGUCCUGGGAGUUCACAACAGCAGGACUGGACACUUCCACAGUGAAGAGCCCUUGGUGAGAUCCCUUUGAUUUAUUAGGUACAGACUUCACAGGCAAAG
rnacentral:lncRNA from 1 species